rnacentral:misc_RNA from 1 species
GAAAUAUUUCCAACUGUAGGCUGCCACAAGAGCCUACUGUGUCAUUUUAUCGCACCGAGUCAGGUACAAGAUCAAAUGUACGGUGUACUAUGUUGCUCAAAAGCAAAGACUUACAUGGUAAAAAUGUUAACUCAAUGAAAGCAUAGAUAUGUUUCACUCCCGCAGUUUGCCUAUAUUUUUUCUUUGAAGGAAAAUUCGUAAUGCAUCCACGACAUAAUGACUGUAAGCCAAAAAUCCUACCAAAAAGGAUAUUAUACAAAAUCGAAUAGAGUUCCUGAACUUUCUUCUCUCCCACCAGUUGUGCAGCUACAAGGUAUAAAGAAAUUUCAAUCGUGCGCAUCAGUGAUCCCAACUUGUCACAAGAUUAAUGGUAAAUCCACUCCAGCGGUUUGAGUACGAUAAAGGACGAAUUC